rnacentral:lncRNA from 1 species
AGGUAUCAAUCUUGCACACCAGAUAUUGUCAUCAUUUUUGAAUCAGAUUGGAAUCCUCAGAAUGAUCUGCAGGCAAUGUGCAGAGCUCACAGAAUUGGACAACAAGAAGUCGUUAUAACAUAUUAUAAAGUAGUAUAGAUUAUCAAGCUGCUAUUGCAAUUGUCAUGGAUGUAGAUGCCACCUUGGGGAAGAAAAAAGUUGCAGAG